AUUGAACGCUGGCGGCAUGCCUUACACAUGCAAGUCGAACGGCAGCACGGGUGCUUGCCCCUGGUGGCGAGUGGCGAACGGGUGAGUAAUACAUCGGAACAUGUCCUGUAGUGGGGGAUAGCCCGGCGAAAGCCGGAUUAAUACCGCAUACGAUCCACGGAUGAAAGCGGGGGACCUUCGGGCCUCGCGCUAUCGGGUUGGCCGAUGGCUGAUUAGCUAGUUGGUGGGGUAAAGGCCUACCAAGGCGACGAUCAGUAGCUGGUCUGAGAGGACGACCAGCCACACUGGGACUGAGACACGGCCCAGACUCCUACGGGAGGCAGCAGUGGGGAAUUUUGGACAAUGGGCGAAAGCCUGAUCCAGAAAUGCCGCGUGUGUGAAGAAGGCCUUCGGGUUGUAAAGCACUUUUGUCCGGAAAGAAAUCCUUGACUCUAAUACAGUCGGGGGAUGACGGUACCGGAAGAAUAAGCACCGGCUAACUACGUG
rnacentral:rRNA from 1 species